CACCGAACGCUUGAAAAUUACGUUAGGAUCGAUUUGGAACCGUCAACGUCGAGAAAUCAUAAUUAACAACGAAACUCAAAUGACGAACGAUCGCGAGUCAAAGAGAUCGACCGAGACAAAGUCAUGACGAGCUUAACACUACAACGAUUCGAUAUCUCGAAUAACGUUUAUACUAAACAAACAAAGUCACUUCGAAUCUUGAGAAAUCAUGCAUUUGAUAGACAAGUACAAUAAAAGAUAAAUAGUUAAUACGAUUCGAAGAGUUGG
rnacentral:lncRNA from 1 species